rnacentral:rRNA from 1 species
UACAGAGGAUGCAAGCGUUAUCCGGAAUCAUUGGGUUUAAAGGGUCCGUAGGCGGUCUAGUAAGUCAGUGGUGAAAGCCCAUCGCUCAACGGUGGAACGGCCAUUGAUACUGCUGGACUUGAAUUACUGGGAAGUAACUAGAAUAUGUAGUGUAGCGGUGAAGUGCUUAGAGAUUACAUGGAAUACCAAUUGCGAAGGCAGGUUACUACCAGUGGAUUGACGCUGAUGGACGAAAGCGUGGGUAGCGAACAGG